rnacentral:misc_RNA from 1 species
GAUGAAGAACGCAGCGAAAUGCAAUAAGUAGUGUGAAUUGCAGAAUUCAGUGAAUCAUCGAAUCUUUGAACGCACAUUGCGCCCCUUGGUAUUCCAUGGGGCAUGCCUGUUCGAGCGUCAUUUGUACCUUCAAGCUCUGCUUGGUGUUGGGUGUUUGUCUCGCCUCUGCGUGUAGACUCGCCUCAAAACAAUUGGCAGCCGGCGUAUUGAUUUCGGAGCGCAGUACAUCUCGCGCUUUGCACUCAUAACGACGACGUCCAAAAGUACAUUUUUACACUCUUGACCUCGGAUCAGGUAGGGAUACCCGCUGAACUUAAGCAUAUCAAUAAGCGGAGGA